UACGUAGGGUGCAAGCGUUGUCCGGAAUUUAUUGGGCGUAAAGAGCUCGUAGGCGGUUUGUCGCGUCUGCUGUGAAAUCCCGAGGCUCAACCUCGGGCCUGCAGUGGGUACGGGCAGACUAGAGUGCGGUAGGGGAGAUUGGAAUUCCUGGUGUAAGCGGUGGAAUGCGCAGAUAUCAGGAGGAACACCGAUGGCGAAGGCCAGAUCUUUGGGCCGUAAC
rnacentral:rRNA from 1 species